ACCGUAGCCAUCUGGCUCAAGGUAAAUACCAGGUCCGCUCUCUGGGCUGCAGCCGAGAGGUGAAUGCCGGUGACGACCCUU
rnacentral:snRNA from 1 species